UGUCUUAAAAACCCUUUUUUAUUGACUAAGAUCAACGUUUAUUAGUAAAACAUGCAAUAUAUAUAUAUAUAUAUAUAUAUAUAUACACAAAAGGACACCAACUUUAUUGCUCGUCGUCAUUUAAAGUAACAGAGGAUCAGAUGCAUCAUAAUCAUUUUUACAAAAGCAGAUCUCAUCACAAGGAAACGGGCCACGUCUAGACGGUUCCACGGGUUCUAUCUGCGGCACGUCUAGACUGUUCUACGGGUUCUAUCUGCGGCACGUCUAGACGGUUCCACGGGUUCUAGCUGCGGCACGUCUAGACGGUUCCACGGGUUCUAUCUGCGGCACGUCUAGACGGUUCCCACGGGUUCUAGCUGUGACACGUCUAGACGGUUCCACGGGUUCUAGCUGUGGCACGUCUAGACGGUUCCCACGGGUUCUAGCUGUGGCACGUCUAGACGGUUCCCACGGGUUCUAGCUGUGGCACGUCUAGACGGUUCCACGGGUUCUAGCUGUGGUAAUUCAAACAAAUGGGUACAUAGACAGACCCGGUCCGGUCCACCGUUGUCAUAGUAACGUAAAUAAUAGACGACCGAUGCUUCUAUUCCGCCCAAACCUUUCACCCUUUUUUUCAUAGCAUGAAGUAUUUCCUAAACACUAAAGAUCUUCAAGGACCAUCUACCUUUCAUCCAUACUAACACACACACACACACACACACACACACACACACACACACACACACACACACACACACACACACACACACACACACACACACACACACACACAAACACACACACAGUGCUUAAUUUGUAAAUCGGGAGGUGAAAAAAAGAAAAUUCUAAUUUUAUAAUAAAGCAUUCAUAUCCUCACAUUAGCGUAGCGGCAUAGAGCAGUAUAUCAAAUCAAAUCAAAUCGUAUAGUAGAGGCACCUACACAAGGUGCACACAUGAGGAACGUUUUCAGUAGCCUAGGGUCGGGGAACAUUUUCAGUAGCCUAGGGUCCAGGGGAACAUUUUCAGUAGCCUUGGGUUCGGGGAACAUUUUCAGUAGCCUAGGGUUCGGGGGAACAUUUUCAUUAGCCUAGGGUCCAGGGGAACAUUUUCAAUAGCCUAGGGUCCAGGGAACAUUUUCAGUACCCUAGGGUCUGGGGACAUUUUCAGUAGCCUAGGGUCCUGGGAACAUUUUCAGUAGUCUAGGGUUCGGGGAACAUUUUCAGUAGCCUAGGGUCCGGGGAACAUUUUCAGUAGUCUAGGGUCCUGGGAACAUUUUCAGUAUCCUAGGGUCCAGGGAACAUUUUCAGUAGUCUAGGGUCCAGGGGGACAUUUUCAGAAGCCUAGGGUCCGGGGAACAUUUUCAGUAUCCUAGGGUCCUGGGAACAUUUUCAGUAUCCUAGGGUCCAGGGAACAUUUUCAGUAGUCUAGGGUUCGGGGAACAUUUUCAGUAUCCUAGGGUCCAGUGAACAUUUUCAGUAUCCUAGGGUCCGGGGAACAUUUUCAGUAUCCUAGGGUCCAGGGAACAUUUUCAGUAGUCUAGGGUUCGGGGAACAUUUUCAGUAUCCUAGGGUCCAGUGAACAUUUUCAGUAUCCUAGGGUCCGGGGAACAUUUUCAGUAUCCUAGGGUCCGGGGAACAUUUUCAGUAUCCUAGGGUCCGGGGAACAUUUUCAGUAGUCUAGGGUUCGGGGAACAUUUUCAGUAUCCUAGGGUCCAGUGAACAUUUUCAGUAUCCUAGGGUCCGGGGAACAUUUUCAGUAUCCUAGGGUCCGGGGAACAUUUUCAGUAUCCUAGGGUCCGGGGAACAUUUUCAGUAUCCUAGGGUCCGGGGAACAUUUUCAGUAUCCUAGGGUCCGGGGAACAUUUUCAGUAUCCUAGGGUCCGGGGAACAUUUUCAGUAUCCUAGGGUCCGGGGAACAUUUUCAGUAUCCUAGGGUCCGGGGGGACAUUUUCAGUAUCCUAGGGUCCGGGGAACAUUUUCAGUAUCCUAGGGUCCGGGGGGAAAUGUUGUCCCUUUAAAAACGCAUUAAAUGCGAUUCUACGUCGUUUUUUUACACGACUGGAGACUUUGGUCAGAAUAUUCUUUAAUACCAAAUGAUCAAAAAAAACGACAGUCUACUUUGACACUGACAAAACUAGAGAAUUAGAGAUCAAUAUAUUUUUAAAAAACGGCCUUGUUUUGAAUUCAUCAAUAACCUGAGGCCUCGGUGUGUGGAGACACAUAUUAUAGGCUACAAUACGAGGAAAUUAUCGCCACCAAAAACAAAAAAUGCUUUCCAG
rnacentral:lncRNA from 1 species